rnacentral:rRNA from 1 species
GGCCAAACUACCCUACAGACCGCGAUAACCUCGGGAAACUGAGGCCAAUAGCGGAUAUAACUCUCAGGCUGGAGUGCCGAGAGUUAGAAACGUUCCGGCGCUGUAGGAUGUGGCUGCGGCCGAUUAGGUAGAUGGUGGGGUAACGGCCCACCAUGCCGAUAAUCGGUACAGGUUGUGAGAGCAAGAGCCUGGAGACGGUAUCUGAGACAAGAUACCGGGCCCUACGGGGCGCAGCAGGCGCGAAACCUUUACACUGCACGACAGUGCGAUAGGGGGACUCCGAGUGUGAGGGCAUAUAGCCCUCGCUUUUUCUGAACCGUAAGGUGGUUCAGGAACAAGGACUGGGCAAGA